GUUCAUCAUGAUAUUUACAAGGUUUUGAUCUUAUAAAUUAAUUAAAAUAUCAUCAAGUUCCAUGAUAUAAAAUAUAUACAAUUCAAAUUUUAGUAAUCACUGUUUCUAAAGAUCAAAGAAAUAAUUACUAUGAGACAUUGCUUUAUGAGCAUGAUGAGUGGUAUGUGUUCUGAACUUAUGAUUUAAAUAUCAAGAUUUUAAAAAAUAUGUGUACUCCAAAAACCUUUAUGUUUUAUUUGUAUCAAUUUCAAAAUUAAUUUCUGACCAUUUUAAAACUAUAUUUUAAUUGAAUGAAUUCUUCUUUGCAUUAUUAUAAAGUUUUAACAGAAAUGUUCUCUUACACUAAAGUUGAUAAAUCAAACAUUAAUAAUUGCAAAAAUUAAAAAUCUAAAGUGUUUACUUUCAAUCAGUUUUUUAAAUCAAUAUAUGACUUAUGAACAAUCAUGAAAAUAUUGACAUCACAUUAAG
rnacentral:lncRNA from 1 species